GGGAAGUGGAAGUUCGUUAACGUCCCCCCCCCCCUCUCUCUCUCUCGAUGAUCGAAGGUUCCGAAUCAUAAAGAGAUCGACGGAGCACCAGAUCUUUUCUUUCUCAGCGUCAUCAUUGUUCUGCAUCAGGUUUUGCUGAUAUCGGAGAAGAACGAAGGAACAAAAAGAAAGAGAUCGACAGAGUUCACCAGACCUUUCCGUUCUCAGCAUCGCCAUUGGCUGUGCGAAUUCUUCAAAGUGGUGAUUCAGAGGAUUUACCUGAAAUAGUGGAGGGGCAAACAAGUUCCUAUGAUAAUAUUACAGAAAUAGAAGGAACACAAGAUGGUUAUGAUGAUAACAAAAUUGCAGAUGUAUACUUGCAAAGGGCAUUAUCUGUUCUUCUUGAUGUUACUUUGUUGGAAGGUUUGGAACACAGUCUUGAGGUUCUUCGAGUUGCUGCAAUAGAAGACCAUCUGCAGGAAGGUGUUCUUGAAACAAUCGAUAUGCUUCGGGAAGUUGGAAUCAACUUUUGGAUGCUUACUGGUGAUAAACAAAAUACAGCCAUUCUGAUAGCACUCUCUUGCAACAUAAUUUCUCCUGAUCUUCAGUAUGUGGAUGAAGGGAAGACGCCCUUGAUCUUGUUUUGUGCUACUGUUGGUGGAGACUCAGGCCUACACAGAUGGUGUAGGCAUACGUGAGAAAGCUAAUAGGAAGACUGCUACCAUCCAGAUCUAAUAUUAGAUCAUGCAGAGCCAAAAGGACAACUUCUGUUAAUGAAUGGGAUGACAGAAGAUGAAGUUGCAAUGAGCUUGGAAAGGGUGUUGCUUACAAUGUAAAUAAGCACUUCAGAGCCUAAGGUUUGGAACACAGUCUUGAGGUUCUUUGAGUUGCUGCAAUAGAAGACCGUCUGUAGGAAGGUGUUCCUGAAACAAUCGAUCUGCUUCGGGAGGCUGGAAUCAACUUUUGGAUGCUUACUGGCGAUAAACAAAAUACAGCCAUUCAGAUAGCGCUCUCGUGCAACCUAAUUUCUCCUGGUGAUCAAUCUUGUAAAUGCUCCAUCAAUUGUUGGCAAGCAUUUAGACGGUCUCUUUGUUUCUUCUUUUUUUCAUGUUGAGAAGAGAUUUGCAGAGCUGCUGGAUGCAAGCCCAUCCUUGCCGUAUCUGAUCUUCUGGAAUCCAGCCAAAUUCUUGCCUCUUUUUGAUGAAGCCGCGACAUGGCCCAGGAACUGGUGUUUGAAGCAUGCAAAAGUUGCAAGGAGAUGGUGUUGAAGGAGUCCUUGCAUAUGCACAUGGUUAUGUGGGCGGUUCUCCAUUGGAGUGUUCCAAAGUUUUUCCAAGAAUUGGUUCUUUGAGACUGAAACACAGAGGGAUUAGUCUCACUCUGAAGGGACCAUGAUUAGAUGUGGACCCAUGUAGAUGACAGAAGGCAACAUAGAAUAUGAAUUCAGAAAAUGCAAGCACAUGCCCGCAGCUGCCUCCCUUGGUUGCCUCCUCCUGCUAGCUGCUCGUCGUCUUUCUCGCCCUCAGAGUCUCCUUCUCCCCUCGUCGUCUCUCUCGCCCUCUGAGUCUCCUUCUCCCCUCCUCGUCUCUCUCGACCUCUCACUCUCCUGCUCCCCUCCUCGUCUCUCUUGCCCUAGAAGAAGCCCUCCGUCUCUUCCUCUCUCGAUUGUUCCUCUGUGAGCAGAUCUGCAAGGUUUUCAUCGAAAGGUUAGUGUUUGAACAUGAAUGGUGAAGAUUUAGGGUUUUGUUGUUUUUCUGGAUUCGAUGGUCAGCUUUUGGUGUUGCGAACCCUUUGCUUGGCAUGGCGAGAAUUAUCAGAAGAUGAAUAUAGAGAAUGGUCUGUGUUGUUUAAAGAGGCUAAUGCUUCUCUAGUUGACAGGGAGGUGAGCUGUUUAGUUUUGAGAUCUUGAUUUUUCUCUACUUUCUGGUUUCUGUUCAAGUGAUUCUUUUUUACUGAACUCUGGCUUUGGUGAAAUGUUUGAGUCGUAUAAUGAAGAUGUAAAGUUUGUCAAUGCAUGCAAAUCAUUCCCUUUAGUGGAGAAGUGCUGAAGUUUGCCAACGUUUGGAACACAGUCUUGAGGUUCUUGGAGUUGCUGCAAUAGAAGACCGUCUGCAGGAAGGUGUUCCUGAAACAAUCGAUCUGCUUCGGGAGGCUGGAAUCAACUUUUGGAUGCUUACUGGUGAUAAAUAAAAUACAGCCAUUCAGAUAGCGCUCUCUUGCAACCUAAUUUCUCCUGAUCUUCAGUAUGUAGAUGAAGGGAAGACGCCCUUGAUCUUGUUUUGUGCUGUUGUUGGUGGAGACUCAGGCCUGCACAAAUGGUGUAGGCAUACGUGAGAAAGCUAAUAAGAAGACUACUACCAUCCAGAUCUAAUAGUAUGGUUCCUUUUGAUAAACUUGUUGAUGUUGUUUCUGUUCGACCUGAUCCUGCUUAUUUCUUGGGCUUUCUAUUACAAACUACUUAGUCAUGCAUAAGCUAUCAAAUGGUAGUAGAACUUAUGUCAGUUAGAUCAUGCAGAGCCAAAAGGACAGCUUCUGUUAAUAAAUGGGAGGACAGAAGAUGAAGUUGCAAGGAGCUUAGAAAGGGUGUUGCUUACAAUGCGAAUAAGCACCUCAGAGCCUAACUGAUAAGGCAUUAGCUAUGCAAUCAAAAGUUGACUACCUAGUCUCCCUAGGAUUACAUCUAACACCUAGGUGCUUAACCAGUUGCUUAAAUGGGAAACGCCUCAGGUUUUCUCUAUUUGAUGUUCAAAAUUGUGAUGAGUUGUCUGGUUUGUGUUUUUGGAACAACAGUAACAAGGAAGCCCUGUCCUGCUUAUUCAUAGACAAGGUUAAUUUGUUCCCCUUGGAACAGCUGUGGAUAAAACCAGCAUUUGCAUAUUGGAUGAGAACAUGCUCUGUCCAGCAUUUGCUUAAGUUGGAAUUUAAAGGACAUGUCGUUCUACUGUGCAGGAUUUGAUUCCCAUAGAAGAACCAUAAAAUAAUUUAGUGAAUGUUUUUUUUAUUUGGUGACAGGAUUAGGUAUGUUUUUGCACAACAAAGUCCAAUACUAGUAACUAGAUUUGGUUUUGGCAUGGACAGGCAAGGGUAAUCAAACAUUCAUGAGAAUCCACUGGAACUUAGAAGAACAUGGAAGCUUCAUGACAAAGAACAAUUGACAAGCUUAACUUGGAUUCUCCUUCCCACAGAAAUGUGAAUUGAUACGACUCCUUGUGCAGCAAGUACUGGAACUCCUAAUAAUUUGGAUUUGGUUCAAAAGUAGUUGCAAUUCUCAUUUAUCACGCAUCCAGAGCCUCUAUUCUCUCCUUACCACAGAAUUUUGCAUCUUGUGAACAGUGUUUUGGUGUUAGAAAAUCUAUUAAGGGCCUAGUUGUGUCAAACAGAACUAGCACCUUUGAUUAGCCUAUGUAGUAGAAAAUGUAUGUAGUCCGUUGGCACUCGGCAGUGACCUUCUAAACUAGGCUGGGCCAUUCAUGCGCUUAAGUAAAAAAAAAGAUUGUAAUAUUUAUUCCCCUUAUCUUCUUUUACCUUUUUUGUAUUUUUUUUCUUUUUUUAUUUUCUUUUUGCUCUCUUUCCAGUUCUUCUUCGUUUUCUUUUCUUUCAUUUACUGUUUUUUUGGCUCACCUCGGCACUUUUCAUUUCCCUAACUUAGCGCUUUUGACUACUUACUGUCUACCUCAUUAUUUGAGAGAGCGAGAAGGUGACUCUAUUUCCAAAUAAAAUACUUGGAACAUACUUGUACAUGCAUGGAGUACAUCUAGUGCAUAUGCAUACAUAUGUUUACACUACUUCUUGUUAGCACAAAUUGGCAGGGGACACGCUUAAAAAACAGGUUUGUGGAUGCUGGAUAAUUUUUUCUGGUUGUUUCUCUAUCCUUAACUUGGAGCACUAUAACAUUGUGGGCAUUUUGAAAAUCCCAUUUGUGAUCAAGCCUUAAUAUUGCCUUUGAUGGCUGCAGUUUAUUUUGGUUAUCAGCCAAUGGUGUUGGAUGAAAAAAUGUAAAUGGGAUGCUGUAGAAGGUAGGAGACAGGUUUGAGGAACUACAUGAAACAAAAUAUGAGGAAAUUGUGAGUGGUUAAGCGACAAUCUGGAAAUUAAUAAUGGCUAAGUAGGUUCCAUGGCAGUAUUCUUGCUUUCUUUAUAUGUUGAAAACAUUCUGAAAUUAUCAUGCCAUUUUUCAUGUUUUGCUAAAUGUUGGGAAGCUAGGACCGUGGUGCUCUUGUGUGGUGCUCUUGUUUGCAGCUGUUUCAUGUGAAAACAAGUGAUAUUUAUUGAAUUGAAUACCAUGCAAUUAUCACAUUUAGAAUAUUGUUCCAUGCUGUUGCCUUGUGCCCUUGUUCAUAAGGCCAUCUAUGUAUGUUGAUUGCUAACUUUACUGUCUUAUGUUGCUGCUUGAUUUUGCUUGAGUUUUUUUGAGUUUUAGUUAGUUUCAGUUUAGUAGUGAAUGCAGUUGGAUUAAGAUUUGUUAAUCUUAAUUCUUCUUGCAUUAAUUGGUAUUGGAGCGAGGUUUUUACAAACAUGAGAGACCAAGUUCAACAAACCUUGCUGUCAUCCCUACAGUGUGUUCCUACCCUGCGCAUGGCUGUAAAAGAUGCAAAAGAUAUGGAACGGGCAAAAGAUUAUGCUGCUACAGAAAAGGAUUUUGCAGAGUUUGCAUCCAAAGUAAAUGAUGUUUCUGGUUUAAUCUUCUAUCCUGAAAGGCAUGUCUCUGCAUGUCUCUGUUAAGAUAGAGGAGAUGAUGGGGCAUGACACUCAACUUGGGUAUAUGAGAGGUUUUGUGUGUUCAAUUAAUGUACUAGUAGCUUGGUAAUGAAAUGGGCAAUAUAUUACAAGCCAAGAAAUAUAACAAGAGAUGUCAAGCUUUUAGUUUGAAAUAGUUCAUAAAUCAUCCAUCAACUCAUAAGCUUGAGUGCUCGUGUUGUGCAAAUAAUAUGUCUUUCAUUUACUCGCAUUACUGUACAAGCAUCAAGAUCACAUAAUUGUUGUUGAAUCUCUAGAAGAGAUCUCUCCCAAUUUCCAAAAUAUGAACAUAAAGGAAUGGUCCUCAACAUCUUAGGAAAUAAAAAAGAGGAGUAGAAUUGACUCCAAAAUUACACAUCUGCAAAAGACUGUCGCAUUCAAUUUCUGCAAGUUCAGCCAUCAUGGAGUUUUGUUUUUUUUUUUCUUUUGUUUUUUU